rnacentral:rRNA from 1 species
UACAGAGGUCCCAAGCGUUGUUCGGAUUCACUGGGCGUAAAGGGUGUGUAGGCGGUUCUUUAAGUUUGGUGUGAAAUCUCCCGGCUCAACUGGGAGGGUGCGCCGAAUACUGAGGGACUAGAGUACGGGAGAGGAAAGUGGAAUUCCUGGUGUAGCGGUGAAAUGCGUAGAUAUCAGGAGGAACACCGGUGGUGUAGACGGCUUUCUGGACCGACACUGACGCUGAAACACGAAAGCGUGGGUAGCAAACAGG